rnacentral:lncRNA from 1 species
GUACAAUGUUCUAGGGGAAGCUGGGGCAUUGCCUCUGAGGUAAGGAGUUAUUGUAUUAUGCAUCCCAAUCAAGAAGAAAGAGGCAUAGCACUUUAAUGAACUUCUCUACUUGGAGCCAGAAUUUACUAGGGAAUAUAGUAAUAUAUUCUCUCUCUCUCUAUAUAUAUAUAUAGCCCCAUUUUGGGGCUAGCUUGGUAAACUGCCAGUUUUGAGUGGGGCAUAGAGAAAAAGAAGUCUUUCCUGAAGAUCUAGAUUGGGGGAUGGGCUCCCCUGCCAUUUAGCAGAACCAGUGGGCUGGGUUGGGCUCAUCUGUGGAAGAAAAGGCCCUAAGUGGUACCUCUAGCAAGCCUCAGUAGGAGGUUUGUAGUACACCUGGUAAGAUCACUUGCCAGGUAAAAACAGCCCCUGGCAUGCUACCACACCCAAGUAGAGGCUGAACACCUGAUUGGGGCACCAAAUGACCUUGCAACUCAGUCUGCUUGUCCUGGGAUAGACAUUGUCAUAUCUACCAAGUAAUAAGAAUAAUUCAUUCAUUGUUCAAUGAAAAAGGUAUCCUUGGGAAUGGAGCCAACCUUUUCCACGAGGGAGCAGUCAUCUACAGGACAAGGUGACUGUGGUCCCACACCUCCUACCUUGUUGCACCAAUGCCUGUCUAUCAACAGAAAAUAAAAAUCAGGUCCGGUUCACAGUGGGUCAUCUUGAUGUAUUACAAGCUGAAAAUGAACUGCUGCUUGCUGUGUGGCAGUCCCAUUCAGGGUGAUGAUAAGGGGAAUCUUCUGUGAGCAGAACCUCAUGCAGUGCCGUGGCUAUCACUUGGUGCAGAGUGAGUAGAUGGAGCUUAUUUAUGGAAGUUUAGGUGGAAUCCUGGGUGUGACAGUGUUGGUUGGUCAGGAAAGGGCCAGAGCAGAAGACUAGAGACUGGAGGUCUGGGGAAACAGCUGGACCCAGGGAGUGGUCACAGCAUGUGUGCAUCUUUGUGCCUCCUCAUGGCAGGGGAGUCACUGAACAAGACAGCGAUACCAGCCUCUGCCUUCCUGUACUAUACAGUGAGCUAGCUCAUGGUUGGAGGUGCCAUGGUAACAGAAAUGCAGGUUUUGCCUACGAACUCGGGCUCGCUCUUAUCAAGUGAGAGCAUAAUGAUGACUCCGCUAGUUAUUACUGCUGUUGACUGACCUGUUAGCAGCUGAGAUCAAGCUGAGCUUCUGUUGUACUGCCAUUUGUAGACAGUAUCAGCUAGUCACUCUAGCAGGUUGGUUUCA